ensembl:lncRNA CBR1-AS1 CBR1 antisense RNA 1
GGAACAGAUUUGAGGACAUCCUCCAGCACGAUCAGUCUGGGAGAUAUGCGGAAAGAAUAAUCAUCUUACAGACACCAUGUACCUAUCACCUGGUAUAAGAAAGAAAUCCUUAGCAAUAAAGACGGAACCACGUAUGUCCUCCUCCCCUCACCCUCAGAG